CAACAAAUGCAAUUUUAACUGCAUGUUUUCAUUCAUCUUCAAGGAUCAUGAUUGCUGAUCUAUCAUUCCUUCUUGGUUUUGAGAAGAUUGAAGUUGAUGACAGUGAAGGCUCAAGCAGUGAAGAUGAUAUGACUUCUGAAAAGCCCCACGUUGUUAUUAGCAGGGAGGAUGUCUACAAGGCACAUAACAAAGGUACAUCUAGAAGUAAGAAGAAAAAGUUAGCAAAACUGGAGCAUGCCACCCGAAGCAUGGAAAGGUAGCAGAGAAUUUCUCAAACCAAGAAUUCAAGUUGUUAUUCACCACUUGGCCAUUUGAAAGAUGCACAGGGAUUUGCAGAGAAGCUGUUUUCUCGUCUUCAAGCUUGUAAUGAAUGUUUUGAGGUACAUGAUGUGCAACUUCUUCUUCUUCUUCAUCUUUUGGGUAGUAUCUUCUGCAUUUCUGC